GGAAUGGAUGUGUGGACAGCCAAUGCAUAAAUUGUGGUGACCUGGUUGCCUCCAAAUAAAUUGGACCCAUCCUUGUCAUUUCCAGAUUGCUUUGCACUGAAAGAUUACAUUGUCUUCCCUGCUUGGAAGCCAGCACACUGGAUGUUGUGUGAAGAUGACAGCCAAAAUUGCACCUGGCACAUAGGUGUUACUGAAAAACAAGG